rnacentral:sRNA from 1 species
UCCCUGUCAAAUUUGUCAUCAGGAACAAC